AAUAAUGGGUUAUAGCAAACAACGUCUUACGGGUGAUUCGAAAGCGGGACCGAUUCCGUACACAAUCGGGGUGAAAAGCGCACCGCAGCGGGUCUGAAUUUAACCGGAAAGUUGGCACACGUCAGAUUCGUCGAAAGUAAACGAGUUUUAUUGUAUUUAUCCCAUUAAACACUCACUAAGUUUAUUCGCGCGAGUUUCCGAUGCUGAUGAACAACCUCGUUUAACCCGUGCCGAUAAUCGCAUGACCCGUAAUUUCAAAAACUCUUAUAAUAUUUAAUUUCGGCCAUUUCGAUAACUCGGACGUUGCUUUUGAGUCGAAAUUCGCACGUUCC